rnacentral:rRNA from 1 species
UAGGGAAUAUUGGGCAAUGGUCGCAAGACUGACCCAGCCAUGCCGCGUGCAGGAUGACUGCCCUAUGGGUUGUAAACUGCUUUUGUACGGGAAGAAACCCCUUUACGUGUAAAGGGCUGACGGUACCGUAAGAAUAAGGAUCGGCUAACUCCGUGCCAGCAGCCGCGGUAAUACGGAGGAUCCUAGCGUUGUCCGGAUUUAUUGGGUUUAAAGGGUGCGUAGGCGGAUUACUAAGUCAGAGGUGAAAGCCGGCAGCUUAACUGUCGAAUUGCCUUUGAAACUGGUAGUCUUGAAUACUGUUGAGGUAGGCGGAAUGUAUCAUGUAGCGGUGAAAUGCUUAGAUAUGAUACAGAACACCGAUUGCGAAGGCAGCUUACUAAGCAGUUAUUGACGCUGAGGCACGAAAGCGUGGGGAUCAAACAGG